UGCAAGUCGAACGCUGAAGCUCCGCCUUGCUGGGGUGGAUGAGUGGCGAACGGGUGAGUAAUACGUGAGUAACCUGCCCUUGACUCUGGGAUAAGCCUGGGAAACCGGGUCUAAUACUGGAUACGACGUCCUGCCGCAUGGUGGGGCGUGGAAAGGGUUUUACUGGUUUUGGAUGGGCUCACGGCCUAUCAGCUUGUUGGUGGGGUAAUGGCCUACCAAGGCGACGACGGGUAGCCGGCCUGAGAGGGUGACCGGCCACACUGGGACUGAGACACGGCCCAGACUCCUACGGGAGGCAGCAGUGGGGAAUAUUGCACAAUGGGCGGAAGCCUGAUGCAGCGACGCCGCGUGAGGGAUGACGGCCUUCGGGUUGUAAACCUCUUUCAGCAGGGAAGAAGCCACAAGUGACGGUACCUGCAGAAGAAGCGCCGGCUAACUACGUGCCAGCAGCCGCGGUAAUACGUAGGGCGCAAGCGUUGUCCGGAAUUAUUGGGCGUAAAGAGCUCGUAGGCGGUUUGUCGCGUCUGCUGUGAAAGCCCGGGGCUCAACCCCGGGUCUGCAGUGGGUACGGGCAGACUAGAGUGCAGUAGGGGAGACUGGAAUUCCUGGUGUAGCGGUGAAAUGCGCAGAUAUCAGGAGGAACACCGAUGGCGAAGGCAGGUCUCUGGGCUGUUACUGACGCUNAGGAGCGAAAGCAUGGGGAGCGAACAGGAUUAGAUACCCUGGUAGUCCAUGCCGUAAACGUUGGGCACUAGGUGU
rnacentral:rRNA from 1 species